rnacentral:rRNA from 1 species
UACAGAGGUCCCAAGCGUUGUUCGGAUUCACUGGGCGUAAAGGGUGCGUAGGCGGUCGGGUAAGUCUGAUGUGAAAUCUCACAGCUUAACUGUGAAACUGCAUUGGAUACUAUCCGGCUCGAGGAAUGGAGGGGAGACUGGAAUUCACGGUGUAGCAGUGAAAUGCGUAGAUAUCGUGAGGAAGACCAGUGGCGAAGGCGGGUCUCUGGACAGUUCCUGACACUGAGGCACGAAGGCCAGGGGAGCAAACGGG